rnacentral:rRNA from 1 species
AGUGAACGCUGGCGGUAGGCCUAUCACAUGCAAGUCGAACGGCAGCACAGUAAGAGCUUGCUCUUACGGGUGGCGAGUGGCGGACGGGUGAGGAAUACAUCGGAAUCUACUUUUUCGUGGGGGAUAACGUAGGGAAACUUACGCUAAUACCGCAUACGACCUACGGGUGAAAGCAGGGGAUCUUCGGACCUUGCGCGAUUGAAUGAGCCGAUGUCGGAUUAGCUAGUUGGCGGGGUAAAGGCCCACCAAGGCGACGAUCCGUAGCUGGUCUGAGAGGAUGAUCAGCCACACUGGAACUGAGACACGGUCCAGACUCCUACGGGAGGCAGCAGUGGGGAAUAUUGGACAAUGGGCGCAAGCCUGAUCCAGCCAUACCGCGUGGGUGAAGAAGGCCUUCGGGUUGUAAAGCCCUUUUGUUGGGAAAGAAAAGCAGCAGGUUAAUACCCCGCUGUUCUGACGGUACCCAAAGAAUAAGCACCGACUAACUUCGUG